rnacentral:rRNA from 1 species
GACAUUAGACGAAUCAUCUGGAAAGAUGAAUCAAAGAAGGUAAUAAUCCUGUAGUCGAAAAUGUUGUCUCUCUUGAGUGGAUCCUGAGUACGACGGAGCACGUGAAAUUCCGUCGGAAUCUGGGAGGACCAUCUCCUAAGGCUAAAUACUCUCUAGUGACCGAUAGUGAACCAGUACCGUGAGGGAAAGGUGAAAAGCACCCCGGAAGGGGAGUGAAAUAGAACCUGAAACCGUGUGCUUACAAGUAGUCAGAGCCCGUUAAUGGGUGAUGGCGUGCCUUUUGUAGAAUGAACCGGCGAGUUACGAUUUGAUGCAAGGUUAAGCAGUAAAUGUGGAGCCGUAGCGAAAGCGAGUCUGAAUAGGGCGUUUAGUAUUUGGUCGUAGACCCGAAACCAGGUGAUCUACCCUUGGUCAGGUUGAAGUUCAGGUAACACUGAAUGGAGGACCGAACCGACUUACGUUGAAAAGUGAGCGGAUGAACUGAGGGUAGCGGAGAAAUUCCAAUCGAACCUGGAGAUAGCUGGUUCUCUCCGAAAUAGCUUUAGGGCUAGCCUCAAGUGAUGAUUAUUGGAGGUAGAGCACUGUUUGGACGAGGGGCCCCUCUCGGGUUACCGAAUUCAGACAAACUCCGAAUGCCAAUUAAUUUAACUUGGGAGUCAGAACAUGGGUGAUAAGGUCCGUGUUCGAAAGGGAAACAGCCCAGACCACCAGCUAAGGUCCCAAAAUAUAUGUUAAGUGGAAAAGGAUGUGGCGUUGCCCAGACAACUAGGAUGUUGGCUUAGAAGCAGCCAUCAUUUAAAGAGUGCGUAAUAGCUCACUAGUCGAGUGACACUGCGCCGAAAAUGUACCGGGGCUAAACAUAUUACCGAAGCUGUGGAUUGUCCUUUGGACAAUGGUAGGAGAGCGUUCUAAGGGCGUUGAAGCAUGAUCGUAAGGACAUGUGGAGCGCUUAGAAGUGAGAAUGCCGGUGUGAGUAGCGAAAGACGGGUGAGAAUCCCGUCCACCGAUUGACUAAGGUUUCCAGAGGAAGGCUCGUCCGCUCUGGGUUAGUCGGGUCCUAAGCUGAGGCCGACAGGCGUAGGCGAUGGAUAACAGGUUGAUAUUCCUGUACCACCUAUAAUCGUUUUAAUCGAUGGGGGGACGCAGUAGGAUAGGCGAAGCGUGCGAUUGGAUUGCACGUCUAAGCAGUAAGGCUGAGUAUUAGGCAAAUCCGGUACUCGUUAAGGCUGAGCUGUGAUGGGGAGAAGACAUUGUGUCUUCGAGUCGUUGAUUUCACACUGCCGAGAAAAGCCUCUAGAUAGAAAAUAGGUGCCCGUACCGCAAACCGACACAGGUAGUCAAGAUGAGAAUUCUAAGGUGAGCGAGCGAACUCUCGUUAAGGAACUCGGCAAAAUGACCCCGUAACUUCGGGAGAAGGGGUGCUCUUUAGGGUUAACGCCCAGAAGAGCCGCAGUGAAUAGGCCCAAGCGACUGUUUAUCAAAAACACAGGUCUCUGCUAAACCGUAAGGUGAUGUAUAGGGGCUGACGCCUGCCCGGUGCUGGAAGGUUAAGAGGAGUGGUUAGCUUCUGCGAAGCUACGAAUCGAAGCCCCAGUAAACGGCGGCCGUAACUAUAACGGUCCUAAGGUAGCGAAAUUCCUUGUCGGGUAAGUUCCGACCCGCACGAAAGGCGUAACGAUUUGGGCACUGUCUCAACGAGAGACUCGGUGAAAUCAUAGUACCUGUGAAGAUGCAGGUUACCCGCGACAGGACGGAAAGACCCCGUGGAGCUUUACUGUAGCCUGAUAUUGAAAUUCGGCACAGCUUGUACAGGAUAGGUAGGAGCCUUUGAAACGUGAGCGCUAGCUUACGUGGAGGCGCUGGUGGGAUACUACCCUAGCUGUGUUGGCUUUCUAACCCGCACCACUUAUCGUGGUGGGAGACAGUGUCAGGCGGGCAGUUUGACUGGGGCGGUCGCCUCCUAAAAGGUAACGGAGGCGCUCAAAGGUUCCCUCAGAAUGGUUGGAAAUCAUUCAUAGAGUGUAAAGGCAUAAGGGAGCUUGACUGCGAGACCUACAAGUCGAGCAGGGUCGAAAGACGGACUUAGUGAUCCGGUGGUUCCGCAUGGAAGGGCCAUCGCUCAACGGAUAAAAGCUACCCCGGGGAUAACAGGCUUAUCUCCCCCAAGAGUUCACAUCGACGGGGAGGUUUGGCACCUCGAUGUCGGCUCAUCGCAUCCUGGGGCUGUAGUCGGUCCCAAGGGUUGGGCUGUUCGCCCAUUAAAGCGGUACGCGAGCUGGGUUCAGAACGUCGUGAGACAGUUCGGUCCCUAUCCGUCGUGGGCGUAGGAAAUUUGAGAGGAGCUGUCCUUAGUACGAGAGGACCGGGAUGGACAUACCUCUGGUGUACCAGUUGUCGUGCCAACGGCAUAGCUGGGUAGCUAUGUGUGGACGGGAUAAGUGCUGAAAGCAUCUAAGCAUGAAGCCCCCCUCAAGAUGAGAUUUCCCAACUUCGGUUAUAAGAUCCCUCAAAGAUGAUGAGGUUAAUAGGUUCGAGGUGGAAGCAUGGUGACAUGUGGAGCUGACGAAUACUAAUCGAUCGAAGACUUAAUCAA